UACGUAGGUGGCAAGCAUUGUCCGGAUUUACUGGGCGUAAAGGGCGUGCAGGCGGUCUGUUAAGUGCAGGGUGAAAGCUCCCGGCUCAACUGGGAGAGGUCCUUGCAUACUGGCGGACUUGAGGGGGGUAGAGGAAAGUGGAAUUCCCGGUGUAGUGGUGAUAUGCGUAGAUAUCGGGAGGAACACCUGUGGCGAAGGCGGGUUGCUGGGCUGACACUGACGCUGAUGCGCGAAAGCCAGGGGAGCGAACGGG
rnacentral:rRNA from 1 species